CCUACGGGAGGCAGCAGUGAGGAAUAUUGGACAAUGGGCGCAAGCCUGAUCCAGCCAUGCCGCGUGCAGGAUGAAGCAUCUAUGGUGUGUAAACUGCUUUUAUACAGGAAGAAACCUCCCGACGUGUCGGGAAUUGACGGUACUGUAAGAAUAAGGAUCGGCUAACUCCGUGCCAGCAGCCGCGGUAAUACGGAGGAUCCAAGCGUUAUCCGGAAUCAUUGGGUUUAAAGGGUCCGUAGGCGGGCCAGUAAGUCAGUGGUGAAAUCUCUCCGCUCAACGGGGAAAUGGCCAUUGAUACUGCUGGUCUUGAAUUAUUAGGAAGUAACUAGAAUAUGUAGUGUAGCGGUGAAAUGCUUAGAGAUUACAUGGAAUACCAAUUGCGAAGGCAGGUUACUACUAAUGGAUUGACGCUGAUGGACGAAAGCGUGGGUAGCGAACAGGAUUAGAUACCCUGGUAGUCCACGCCGUAAACGAUGGAUACUAGCUGUUGGGGGCAACUUCAGUGGCUAAGCGAAAGUGAUAAGUAUCCCGCCGNGGAGGUAACGUCGUCGAGAAGUAGAACGUUACGAAGAGUUAGUUAGGCGGNGNGAGACGCGACGACGACGACGACGGAGGAGGAGG
rnacentral:rRNA from 1 species